ensembl:lncRNA
GUAGGGUCGUACUCUACGGAUGUUCCUCUUCCUGUGUGAAGUAGGGUCGUACUCUACGGAUGUUCCUCUUCCUGUGUGAGGUAGGGUCGUACUCUACGGAUGUUCCUCCUCCUGUGUGAGGUAGGGUCGUACUCUACGGAUGUUCCUCUUCCUGUGUGAAGUAGGGUCGUACUCUACGGAUGUUCCUCUUCCUGUGUGAGGUAGGGUCGUACUCUACGGAUGUUCCUCUUCCUGUGUGAGGUAGGGUCGUACUCUAUGGAUGUUCCUCUUCCUGUGUGAGGUAGGGUCGUACUCUACGGAUGUUCCUCUUCCUGUGUGAGGUAGGGUCGUACUCUACGGAUGUUCCUCUUCCUGUGUGAGGUAGGGUCGUACUCUACAGAUGUUCCUCUUCCUGUGUGAGGUAGGGUCGUACUCUACGGAU